rnacentral:pre_miRNA from 1 species
CUACUACUCCCUCCGUUUGGAAUUACUUGUCUCGGAAAUGGAUGUAUCUAGAACUAAAAUACGUCUAGAUACAUCCAUUUCCGCGACAAGUAAUUCCGAACGGAGGGAGUAUAUC